GAUGAAGAACGUAGUGAAAUGCGAUAAGUAAUGUGAAUUGCAGAAUUCAGUGAAUCAUCGAAUCUUUGAACGCACAUUGCGCCCGCCAGUAUUCUGGCGGGCAUGCCUGUUCGAGCGUCAUUUCAACCAUCAAGCCCCCGGCUUGUGUUGGGGACCUGCGGCUGCCGCAGGCCCUGAAAAGCAGUGGCGGGCUCGCUGUCACACCGAGCGUAGUAGCAUACAUCUCGCUCUGAGCGUGCUGCGGGUUCCGGCCGUUAAACCACCUUCAUAACCCAAGGUUGACCUCGGAUCAGGUAGGAAGACCCGCUGAACUUAAGCAUAUCAAUAAGCGGAGGA
rnacentral:misc_RNA from 1 species